UUUUCUUUUUUGGUCAACUGUUCCGUUAAGAGGAAAAUGGCAGUAAAAUCGAGGGUAAAUCCGUCAUUUCAGGGGUGACCUGUAGUGACCUGGACGCUGGAAAGGAAGGGAUAGGGAACUUGCUUUAUUUCUUUCUUUUUCUCCUUCCACUGACGACUCUUCUGUCGGAACCUACGCUCUAGUGACUACGGGCAUGUUAUGAUGUCAAUAUCCUACACCACGGCGCACGUUAGCAUCAGUCCUUGAAAUCCUUCGCUUUUCCCUUCUCUUAGUCUUAUCUCAGCAAAACACAGGAAGAAUUUCGGUGGAGUGAGAUCAGCAGGCGAUUGGUCUCCAUCUCUCUCCUCUUAUCGCAUCUCUUUCUUGUCCCUAACCG